ACGACUAAAAUUUAAAUCCGCGUCGGUAUUUUUACCAUAUCCUUUUUGUCAUGAAAUCUGUGGUGUUCAGUUAAUGUGGAUGGGAAAUGGGAUGCCCCAAUGAUGUUUCCAGGAAGCACAUUAUAUGUCCCGCAUGGGAAGGGGAAUAGGUCCACAGCAAUACCUUCUAUUCACAGUCCUCUGCAAACUGCAACGGGACAAACUCAACAGUUGAAUCCGAUUAAUUACCAACACCAAGUGCAGAAUCCGACGCUGUCCGACCAAUAUGCGCUUUUUCUCGGCUUCCAUCAUAGCAUAAUGCCUCUCAGCAGAUGAAUAUAUUUGGAUAUGGCCCCCAAACUACAACGCAAAGUCCAAUGGCAUUAGCUCCCACUAGUAGUAUCAGACUAACAACAACAACCAAUAACACCUACCAAGUGGAAGAUAGGUAAGUGAAAGCGGGGGGGUCCAUAGCAAGUUGGUAGAAGCUAAUGCCGCCCAACAUGCGGUGCCUUUCUUCUGGAACAGUAGGUAUGCGGAAGGGCCAGGUGUCCGAUCAUCGAUGAAGGAAUUUUAAGUCCACAUGCCCCUACCAGAUUAUUGAAGACUCUACACAAGCAGGCAUUGGUAUUGUUCCAUUCGAUUUCAGGAUGAACCGAACGUUGGGGCUUAUCAAGGUGUAAAUUAACAAAACGAUAAAUAAAAUGUUGUUAUGACGUUAUUUAUGCUCCUUAUUAAAUUAAUAAAAA